rnacentral:rRNA from 1 species
UACGGGGGGGGCAAGCGUUGUUCGGAAUUACUGGGCGUAAAGGCUCGUAGGCGGCCAAUUAAGUCAUACGUGAAAUCCCUCGGCUCAACCAAGGAAGUGCAUCCGAAACUGCAGUGCUUGAGUACUUAAGAGGAUCGCGGAAUUCCCGGUGUAGAGGUGAAAUUCGUAGAUAUCAGGAGGAACACCGGUGGCGAAGGCGGGUCUCUGGGCAGUAACUGACGCUGAGGAGCGAAAGCGUGGGGAGCGAACAGG